rnacentral:sRNA from 1 species
AUCGGCCAUGAUCUGGCACGGGUGCGUAUCGUCGGUGAGCCCGUUGAUGACGGGCACGGUCGCAUGCUC